rnacentral:rRNA from 1 species
UACGGAGGGAGCUAGCGUUGUUCGGAAUUACUGGGCGUAAAGCGCACGUAGGCGGAUUGUUAAGUCAGGGGUGAAAUCCCGGGGCUCAACCCCGGAACUGCCUUUGAUACUGGCAUUCUCGAGUCCGGAAGAGGUGAGUGGAAUUCCGAGUGUAGAGGUGAAAUUCGUAGAUAUUCGGAGGAACACCAGUGGCGAAGGCGGCUCACUGGUCCGGAACUGACGCUGAGGUGCGAAAGCGUGGGGAGCAAACAGG